UUUUUUUUUUUUUUUUUGCAUUUGGCACAAACUAAAUUAAAAAGAAAAAGAAGAAGAAGAAAAGAGAAAGCACAAUGCCGAGAAUAUUCUAAGGAGUCAUGCCUAUAAUUGAAAACCUGCUUUAGGUUAUUUGGAACUUCCAUGACCCAUAUGUGCUAUAUGGGGUCGGGCGACACAUGCAGCUUUUGAAUGCGACAGUGUCACACAGUGUUUCCCUAACCCCCCCCACCCCCCAUUUCUGAACAAUUUCUUGUAUCUACAGCUGUGCUACGUGCAGCGGCCAUAAAACCAUCCAUUUGUAUAAUCUCGGGGCAAAAAGCACCACAAAGAGAAGCAAUGGGACUGCGAAAAUGAUCCAUCUUCAUUUACGCAUUUAAAAUUUUUCUCACUGUGAGAGCCUGGUGAGGUGGAUAUCUUCCUGUGAAAACCGCAGAGAGCCAGCUGCCUUUUCCGAGUCCAACAAACAUCAGUAGGGACAAUAACAUUAAGGAUUCAUAAUCCCACACAGAAGAACACAACAUUAUCCUAACUAAAUUUUCUCCUUUCGCAUCCCCAAGACUUAUUAAUACACAGGAUAAAAAGCUCCGAGAGCUCCAGCUUCCACACAGUGAGUGAUGGAUACCAUAUUCCAGCUGUUUAGUUUGGAAGCUAUCGUCUCAGAUCCGUCAAGUUCUAGUGGAAAUAAAUGAAAUAGGGAUAUCUGGUCCUCACUGUUCGCCUGAACGCCCGGCCUUCGUUUCUUCUCUUUAUUAUGUCAGUACUACCGCUGGAAUCAAAAAUGGUCUCGAUUUUCUCAGUUCUGUGGAAUUUUACCUCAGAUGAGACUGCGGUAAAUACCGCAGUCAUUUCAUAUCCUUUCCUAGGGGCAAUACACCCAUUGUGGCUCCACCAUCAUGCAAUCUUCUUGGCUCAUUCCCUUUCCUUUUCAAGGCCCCCACCCAUUGUGUAGGGCGGUGGUUCUCUGCCGGCCAACUCUCAACCCUCUCUUGACACUCCCUUUCUGGACUUUGACUAUUACCAACGUGUGGAUGACACUCAGAUUUAUGUUGCUUUUCCAGACUUCUCCCCUGAGCUACAGACUUGAUACCCAACUGACUGACAUCUGCACAAAUACAAUCAGCAGGCAUCUCAAAUUUCACAAAGCUGGAAUAGAAGAUGGCUUUUCCCACUGCUUCGUUGAAAAGGGAGUCUCUCUGGCAUCUGCCUUCACCACGGUCUACGGCACUAAAGCAUCUAUGGCACUAAAGCAUCCUUCGAUUGCUCGGGCUUAAUAUCUGGGUAUCACCUUCCUUUUCUUAUUCUUCACGUUCCCAGUCUAGCCAACCCAUCAGAGUAACUUCACAGAAGCCUUUUUUAAUAGAUCAUUCAUUGAUUAUUUUUAAACAUUUCUCUCCUGCUAUUCUGCUUCUCUCUGAAGAGUCAGAAGAGAUACUUCAAAGAGUUGCAGGAGGUAUUAGGUAAUGCGGUGAGGUCAGCCCAUGUGUUUGUAAGUUGGUGAUACUUGGGCUACGUUGAAAUAUCCCAGGAGAGGAAAGCUUGUGGGCACUUCUGUCAAAGUUUUAGAAGGAAAGGAAGAUAACUCUGAUUCUGCCAUCAGGAACAGCAAUGCUACUGGAGAAAUCCCAAAAGGGAAAUGACACCAAGAGAGAGCGGGGGACAGAAGAUCUGAAGCCGGCUCUG